UAUUCACCUGCCCCGACACUCUCUCUCUAUAUUGAAUGGCAAUCGCAAUCAGACUGAUAAUGGAAAACACCUUUCCGCUUAUCGAUUCAAUUAUCAGGCAAAAAGCAAACAAAGUUUCAGGAUUUCAAGCACAGCACAGCACAGCACAGUAUUGUAAUUAUUUUCUAUUUUAUUUUCGAAACUCUGGAUCCGCUGGCGGGGUUCAGUGCUCGACGGGCAUUAGAAGCUUAUUGCUGGAAGCGAGAAGCUCGCGGAGUGAGAAUCUCGGUUUGACGACGAUGGCAUUAUGCAAAUUUCCGGCGAUAAGCAGAGCAAAAAAAGUCAAGAAAAAAGCACUCGAAAAAGCAAAAAACCGGUAAGAGACGGCUGAGACGUCGCUUUGAAUACCCGCCCGUAAUUCCCGGCUGUAAGCCGAAGUAAUGUUUGAAUGUAUUUUCGAUUCUUGGAACUAAGAAAUGGGACGAAUGGAAAAAUUUGUAGGUUUCGGUUUCAGGGAACCCCUUUUGCAUUCCAAGAUUACCUUCAGAGAUAUUUAUAAACUGAUUCAAUGGGCUGGGGCGAGCAUAUGCCGUAGAUUUCUCAAUGGAACCAGUUUGGAAACAAAAAACAAUACAGAAGCCAUCGGCCAGACUGGCAAUCAUUUAAAUUCUUAUGUUCUACAAGCUUGUUUUUGAGUUUUGCAUCUAAAGCUUCCAUUGAAACUAAUCAGAAGCAACCAAUUAAUUUAAAACUUCUAACAAAUCUUUAAUAUUAAUGAAACAAACUAUAAGUAAAAAUAAAAAUUUCAAGUUAUUACCAGAAAAUAUUAGUUAUGUAAAAACCUUUUUUAUAAUAAAUGUAAUAGUUUUUGGUUAUAAAAAACAUUCUUUAUAAGCCAAUUACUAAAAUAAAGAGAUACUUUGAACUCAA